GCCCGGUUAGCUCAAUCGGUAGAGCGUGAGACUCUUAAUCUCAAGGUUGCGGGUGAGUACUUACAUAUAACCGUCCCUUGCUCACCGAGAGACGAUGAUAUUAACUCUCCUCUCUUAGGUUCGACCCCCGCAUCGGGCU